rnacentral:rRNA from 1 species
UACGAAGGGUGCAAACGUUGCUCGGAAUUAUUGGGCGUAAAGCGCGCGUAGGCGGUUACUCAAGUUGGAUGUGAAAGCCCUCGGCUCAACCGGAGGAAGUGCGCCCGAAACUGCAGAGCUUGAGUACCGGAGAGGAUGGCGGAAUUCCCAAGUAGAGGUGAAAUUCGUAGAUAUGCGGAGGAACACCGAUGGCGAAGGCAGUCCCCUGGGCCUGCACUGACGCUCAUGCACGAAAGCGUGGGGAGCAAACAGG